CUUCUUGGAAAUGACAACUGCUAAGCCAUAAUUAUAUGUACCUUUCUCGUGAAACGAGAAGCCUUAUUCAAGCCAAAAUAAAAAGAAUAAAGAAUAAUUAAUAAGAUGAAAGAGUGCAACAUCCUUUCAAAUAGUGCAACAAGCUCUUCAAAAUAGUACAAUAUCUGUAUAAAUAAUGCAACAUAUGCAUUGUUAAUAAAUAUUUUGUAUGAUUUUUACACUAAAUUACGCACGGUUUAGUAUAUUACGCGAAAAUAAUAUAUUAUAUUACAACAUACUAUAAAAAUUAUACAAUAUAUGUACAAACGGUGCAUAUUUUACACUAUUUAUAUAGAUAUUUACACAAUUUGUAUAAAUAUUGCACUAUUAUGAGAGAAUGUUGCACUAUUUAGAUGUGUGUUGCACUUUUUCUUUUUGAAAAUUAAAUUUCAUUGCAUAUUGAAUAAAGUAUAAAACUUCUUGGAAAUGACAACUGCUAAGUCAUAAUUAUAUGCAUGUACCUUUCUCGUGAAACGAGAAAUCUCAUUCAAGAGAAAAUAAAAAAAAUAAAGAUUAAUUAAUAAGAUGAAAGAGUGUAAUAUCCUCUCAAAUAGUGCAACAAUCUCUUCAAAAUAGUGCAAUAUCUGUAUAAUUAGUGCAACAUAUGCAUUGUUAAUACACAUUUUACAUGAUUUUUACACUAAGUUACGUACAGUUUAGUAUAUUACGCGAAAAUAAUAUAAUAUAUUAUAAUAUAUUAUAAAAAUUAUACAAUAUAUGUACAAACAGUGCAUAUUUUACACUAUUUAUAUAGAUAUUUACACCAUUUCUGUAAAUAUUGCACUAUUAUGAGAGAAUGUUGCACCAUUUAGAUCUGUGUUGCACUCUUUCUUUUUGAAAAUUAAAUUUUAUUGCAUAUUAAAUAAAGUGUAAAACUCUUUGAAAAUGACAAAUGCUAAGCCAUAAUUACAUGCAUGUACCUUUAUCGUGAAACGAGAAACCUCAUUCAAGAGAAAAAAUAAAAAAAUAAAGAUUAAUUAAUAAGAUGAAAGAGUGCAAUAUCCUCUCAAAUAGUGCAACAAUCUCUUCAAAAUAGUGCAAUAUCUGUAUAAUUAGUGCAACAUAUGCAUUGUUAAUACACAUUUUACAUGAUUUUUACACUAAGUUACGUACAGUUUAGUAUAUUACGCGAAAAUAAUAUAAUAUAUUAUAAUAUAUUAUAAAAAUUAUACAAUAUAUGUACAAAUGGUGCAUAUUUUACACUAUUUAUAUAUAUAUUUAAACCAUUUGUGUAAAUGUUGCAGUAUUAUAAGAGAAUAUUGCACCAUUUAUAUGUGUGUUGCACUCUUUCUUUUUGAAAAUUAAAUUUCAUUACAUAUUAAAUAAAGUGUCAAACUUCUUGGAAAAUGACAACUGCUAAACCAUAAUUACAUGCAUGUACAUUUCUCGUGAAACGAGAAGCCUCAUUCAAAAGAAAAUAAAAAAAUAAAGAAUAAUUAGUAAGAUGAAAGAGUGCAACAUCCUCUCAAAUAGUACAACAAGCUCUUCAAAAUAGUGCAAUAUCUGUAUAAGUNGCAUAUUUUACACUAUUUAUACAUAUAUUUACACCAUUUGUGUAAAUGUUGCACUAUUAUGAAAGGAUGUUGCACCAUUUAGAUGUGUGUUGCACUCCUUCUUUUUGAAAAUUAAAUUUCAUUGCAUAUUAAAUGAAGUGUAAAACUUCUUGGAAAUGACAACUGCUAAGCCAUAAUUACAUGCACGUACCUUUCUCGUGAAACGAGAAGCCUUAUUCAAGAGAAAAUAAAAAGGAUAAAGAAUAAUUAAUAAGAUGAAAGAGUGCAAUAUCCUCUCAAAUAGUGCAACAAGCUCUUCAAAAUAGUGCAAUAUUUGUAUAAGUAGUGCACCAUACGCAUUGUUAAUACACAUUUUACAUAAUUUUUACACUAAAUUACAUACAGUUUAAUAUAUUACGCGAAAAUAAUAUGCAAUAUAUAAUAUAAUAAACUGUAUGUAAUUAAUUUAGUGUAAAAAUCAUACAAAAUGUGUAUUAACAAUGCAUAUGUUGCACUAUUUAUACAGAUAUUGCACUAUUUUGAAGAGCUUGUUAUACUAUUUGAGAGGAUGUUGCACUCUUUCAUCUUAUUAAUUAUUCUUUAUUCUUUUUAUUUUCUCUUGAAUGAGGCUUCUCGUUUCACGAGAAAGGUACAUGCAUGUAAUUAUGGCUUAGCAGUUGUCAUUUCCAAGAAGUUUUACACUUCAUUUAAUAUGCAAUGAAAUUUAAUUUUCAAAAAGAAAGAGUGCAACACACAUCUAAAUGGUGCAACAUCCUUUCAUAAUAGUGCAACAUUUACACGAAUGGUGUAAAUAUAUGUAUAAAUAGUAUAAAAUAUGCACCGUUUGUACAUAUAUUGUAUAGUUUUUUUAAUAUAUUGUAAUAUAUUAUAUUAUUUUUGCGUAAUAUACUAAACUGUACAUAACUUAGUGUAAAAAUCAUGCAAAAUGUGUAUUAACAAUGCAUAUGUUGCACUAAUUAUAAAGAUAUUGCAUUAUUUUGAAGAGAUUGUUGCACUAUUUGAGAGGAUAUUGCACUCUUUAUCUUAUUAAUUAAUCUUUAUUUUUUUUAUUUUCUUUUGAAUGAGGUUUCUCGUUUCACGAGAAAGGUACAUGCAUGUAAUUAUGGCUUAGCAGUUGUUAUUUUCCAGAAGUUUGACACUUUAUUUUAUAUGUAAUGAAAUUUAAUUUUUAAAAAGAAAGAGUGCAACACACAUCUAAAUGGUGCAACAUUCUCUCAUAAUAGUGCAACAUUUACAGAAAUGGUGCAAAUAUAUGUAUAAAUAGUGUAAAAUAUGCACCGUUUGUAUAUAUAUUAUAUAAUUUUUAUAAUAUAUUGUAAUAUAUUAUAUUAUUUUCGUGUAAGAUACUAAACUGUACGCAACUUAGUGUAAAAAUCAUGCAAAAUGUGUAUUAAGAAUGCAUAUGUUGCACUACUUAUACAAAUAUUGCACUAUUUUGAAGAGAUUGUUGCACUAUUUGAGAGGAUAUUGCACUCUUUCAUCUUAUUAAUUAAUCUUUAUUUUUUUAUUUUUUCUUGAAUGAGGUUUCUUGUUUUACAAGAAAGGUACAUGCAUAUAAUUAUGGCUUAACAGUUGUCAUUUCCAACAAGUUUUAUACAUAAUGGCUUAGCAGUUCUAUUUUUCUAGACAUUUAAAAUAUAUAAUUUUUAUGAAUUUUGAAAGAGGGGUAGUUUAGUCAUCCUUCUGAAAAUUCGGCCCGAAUCUGCAAAAACUAAAAAGGUGGCCCACUUUUGCAAAAGCGCAAAAUUAGUGAAUUUUUUAUGCAAAUUGGCCUAAAAACAUCUAUAAAUUUCCUAACUUUCAAAUUGACAAACUAAAAAGAACUAAAUUAAAAUUAAAAAGCGUCGUCUAAAAUAUAUUUUAUUAUAGUGAUCAAAUCCUAAUAAUUGCAAUAUUAAUUACGCAGUGAAAAUGAUAUGUAAAAUCUAUAUGAUUUUUUAGCAUGAUUUGAUUAUUGGUUU
rnacentral:lncRNA from 1 species